GACCCACCCGAUCCCUUCCCGAACUCGGACGUGAAACCAGUCUGCGCCAAUGGUACUGUGGCUCAAGCCCCGGAAGAGUAGGUCGUCGCCAGGC
rnacentral:rRNA from 1 species